GGUGAAAAUGAUGAAUUCUGGGGAACUGAUUCAUGUGACUUGAAAAGGCCAUCCAUUUCCUGAUUCACC
ensembl:snoRNA SNORD123 small nucleolar RNA, C/D box 123